CAGACAGGAGGCUGCAGUGGGGAAUAUUGGACAAUGGGCGAAAGCCUGAUCCAGCCAUGCCGCGUGUGUGAAGAAGGCCUUCGGGUUGUAAAGCACUUUCAGUGGGGAAGAAAGCCUUGGGGCUAAUACCCUCGAGGAAGGACAUCACCCACAGAAGAAGCACCGGCUAACUCCGUGCCAGCAGCCGCGGUAAUACGGAGGGUGCGAGCGUUAAUCGGAAUUACUGGGCGCAAAGCGCGCGUAGGCGGUCUGAUAAGCCGGUUGUGAAAGCCCCGGGCUCAACCUGGGAACGGCAUCCGGAACUGUCAGGCUAGAGUGCAGGAGAGGAAGGUAGAAUUCCCGGUGUAGCGGUGAAAUGCGUAGAGAUCGGGAGGAAUACCAGUGGCGAAGGCGGCCUUCUGGACUGACACUGACGCUGAGGUGCGAAAGCGUGGGUAGCAAACAGGAUUAGAUACCCGAGUAGUC
rnacentral:rRNA from 1 species